CGGGGCCCGCACAAGCAGUGGAGUAUGUGGUUUAAUUCGAAGCAACGCGAAGAACCUUACCAGGGCUUGACAUCCCUUGAAGCAGCUAGAGAUAGCUGUGUCCUUCGGGACAAGGAGACAGGUGGUGCAUGGUUGUCGUCAGCUCGUGUCGUGAGAUGUUGGGUUAAGUCCCGCAACGAGCGCAACCCCUAUGUUUAGUUGCUAACAGGUAAGGCUGAGCACUCUAGACAGACUGCCGGUGACAAACCGGAGGAAGGUGGGAUGACGUCAAAUCAUCAUGCCCCUUAUGUCUUGGGCUACACACGUAAUACAAUGGCCGGUACAGACGGAAGCGAAGCCGUGAGGUGAAGCGAAUCCGAGAAAGCCGGUCUCAGUUCGGAUUGCAGGCUGCAAUUCGCCUGCAUGAAGUCGGAAUCGCUAGUAAUCGCAGGUCAGCAUACUGCGGUGAAUACGUUCCCGGGCCUU
rnacentral:rRNA from 1 species